GUCUCUGUGCUAGAUGAGAGCCUGUGGGGAGUUCAGGGAGUGCAGGUCUGGGCCGUGUAUCACCCUGUCACCGGGACCAAGCUGGGAGAGUGGGUACAGAGACAUGAGCUUUCAAUACCUGCAAAUUUCCAUCUGGCUUGUUAGGAGCACUUCUCAUGAAGGGGAUUAUGAAAAGUUGGAGAUGCUACAGUGUUUCAGGCUCAUUUGACUGUGGUGGCUGAGCUGAACCACUUCUGACUUGCCCUCCUGAAGGUGAACGGAGGACAAGGCUGUGCGGUGGGGCUGGUGACAACUCGGUUUUAACCUCUGCUGCAGCAGACUG